rnacentral:rRNA from 1 species
GAUGAACGCUGGCGGCGUGCUUAAUACAUGCAAGUCGAGCGAACAGACGAGGAGCUUGCUCCUCUGACGUUAGCGGCGGACGGGUGAGUAACACGUGGAUAACCUACCUAUAAGACUGGGAUAACUUCGGGAAACCGGAGCUAAUACCGGAUAAUAUAUUGAACCGCAUGGUUCAAUAGUGAAAGACGGUUUUGCUGUCACUUAUAGAUGGAUCCGCGCCGCAUUAGCUAGUUGGUAAGGUCACGGCUUACCAAGGCAACGAUGCGUAGCCGACCUGAGAGGGUGGUCGGCCACCCUGGAACUGAGACACCGUCCUGAGUCCUACGGGAGGCAGCAGUAGGGAAUCUUCCGCAAUGGGCGAAAGCCUGACGGAGCAACGCCGCGUGAGUGAUGAAGGUCCUCGGAUCGUAAAACCCUGUUAUUAGGGAUGAACAAAUUUGUAAGUAACUAUGCCCGUAUUGACGGUACCUAAUCAGAAAGCCACGGCUAACUACGUG